rnacentral:rRNA from 1 species
GACGAACCGUGCGAACGUUGUUCGGAAUCACUGGGCUUAAAGGGCGCGUAGGCGGGCCCGCAAGUCCGGGGUGAAAGCCCCCAGCUCAACUGGGGAAGCGCCUUGGAUACUGCGGGCCUGGAGGGAGGUAGGGGCGUGCGGAACUUCCGGUGGAGCGGUGAAAUGCGUGAGAUAUCGGAAGGAACACCGGUGGCGAAAGCGGCGCGCUGGACCUCUUCUGACGCUGAGGCGCGAAAGCCAGGGAGCAAAGCGGG